UAUACUAGAUGAAUAUUCUAGAUUUCACAUAUACUCGCUGGUUGUGACAGGAAAACCUUGAGUAAGUAGUUGUUUGUUCGUGACUCUAGCUUAUUCACAUGGUAAAUGUGGUGAGCUUAGAGAAACCCAUGCUUGAAGACUGUGAUGUUUUCAUCCCAACAGCUCUCGGGGGUGUCAUCAAUAGAUGGGAAAAUGCAAAUGAUCUAAAGGCAACAAUUUAGUAGAACCAUCCAAUCACCCAACUGAUCCAGAGACUGAUGAGAGGAAUAUUGGAUUAGGGAAACCAAAAUCCGUUCAUGAUGAUUAUACAUAAGGUGAGGUCAAUUUACACAUAAUUUAUUUUAAAAAGUCCUUAAUGUCGUGCUGCUGGUUUACUGUUUUCCUGGUUACCAAUUGGAAGAGAAAUGCAAGGCUUGUAGUCUCAAGAAAAGAAAUUGAUUGCAGAGAUUAAGAAUUAUGGUCAACAUGCGUCUUUUGAAUACACCUGCAUCAACAUGAACAAAACUACUCCCACAUGAACCUUAUGCUGCAGCAAAUUAAUAAUUGUGAUUCUGCUAUGCUAAUGACUCUGCUAUG